rnacentral:rRNA from 1 species
UACGUAGGUGGCAAGCGUUAUCCGGAAUUAUUGGGCGUAAAGGGUGCGCAGGCGGUUGAUCAAGUCUAAGGUGAAAGCCCGAAGCUUAACUUCGGCGAGCCUUGGAAACUGGUUGACUAGAGUGCAGGAGAGGUGAGUGGAAUUCCAUGUGUAGCGGUAAAAUGCGUAGAGAUAUGGAGGAACACCAGUGGCGAAGGCGGCUCACUGGCCUGAAACUGACGCUGAGGCACGAAAGCGUGGGGAGCAAAUAGG